UUAAGUUAUUAAGGGCGCACGGUGGAUGCCUUGGCACUAGAAGCCGAUGAAGGACGUUACUAACGACGAUAUGCUUUGGGGAGCUGUAAGUAAGCUUUGAUCCAGAGAUUUCCGAAUGGGGAAACCCAGCAUGAGUUAUGUCAUGUUAUCGAUAUGUGAAUACAUAGCAUAUCAGAAGGCACACCCGGAGAACUGAAACAUCUUAGUACCCGGAGGAAGAAAAAGAAAAUUCGAUUCCCUUAGUAGCGGCGAGCGAAACGGGAAGAGCCCAAACCAACAAGCUUGCUUGUUGGGGUUGUAGGACACUCUAUACGGAGUUACAAAGGACGACAUUAGACGAAUCAUCUGGAAAGAUGAAUCAAAGAAGGUAAUAAUCCUGUAGUCGAAAAUGUUGUCUCUCUUGAGUGGAUCCUGAGUACGACGGAACACGUGAAAUUCCGUCGGAAUCUGGGAGGACCAUCUCCUAAGGCUAAAUACUCUCUAGUGACCGAUAGUGAACCAGUACCGUGAGGGAAAGGUGAAAAGCACCCCGGAAGGGGAGUGAAAUAGAACCUGAAACCGUGUGCUUACAAGUAGUCAGAGCCCGUUAAUGGGUGAUGGCGUGCCUUUUGUAGAAUGAACCGGCGAGUUACGAUUUGAUGCAAGGUUAAGCAGUAAAUGUGGAGCCGUAGCGAAAGCGAGUCUGAAUAGGGCGUUUAGUAUUUGGUCGUAGACCCGAAACCAGGUGAUCUACCCUUGGUCAGGUUGAAGUUCAGGUAACACUGAAUGGAGGACCGAACCGACUUACGUUGAAAAGUGAGCGGAUGAACUGAGGGUAGCGGAGAAAUUCCAAUCGAACCUGGAGAUAGCUGGUUCUCUCCGAAAUAGCUUUAGGGCUAGCCUCAAGUGAUGAUUAUUGGAGGUAGAGCACUGUUUGGACGAGGGGCCCCUCUCGGGUUACCGAAUUCAGACAAACUCCGAAUGCCAAUUAAUUUAACUUGGGAGUCAGAACAUGGGUGAUAAGGUCCGUGUUCGAAAGGGAAACAGCCCAGACCACCAGCUAAGGUCCCAAAAUAUAUGUUAAGUGGAAAAGGAUGUGGCGUUGCCCAGACAACUAGGAUGUUGGCUUAGAAGCAGCCAUCAUUUAAAGAGUGCGUAAUAGCUCACUAGUCGAGUGACACUGCGCCGAAAAUGUACCGGGGCUAAACAUAUUACCGAAGCUGUGGAUUGUCCUUUGGACAAUGGUAGGAGAGCGUUCUAAGGGCGUUGAAGCAUGAUCGUAAGGACAUGUGGAGCGCUUAGAAGUGAGAAUGCCGGUGUGAGUAGCGAAAGACGGGUGAGAAUCCCGUCCACCGAUUGACUAAGGUUUCCAGAGGAAGGCUCGUCCGCUCUGGGUUAGUCGGGUCCUAAGCUGAGGCCGACAGGCGUAGGCGAUGGAUAACAGGUUGAUAUUCCUGUACCACCUAUAAUCGUUUUAAUCGAUGGGGGGACGCAGUAGGAUAGGCGAAGCGUGCGAUUGGAUUGCACGUCUAAGCAGUAAGGCUGAGUAUUAGGCAAAUCCGGUACUCGUUAAGGCUGAGCUGUGAUGGGGAGAAGACAUUGAGUCUUCGAGUCGUUGAUUUCACACUGCCGAGAAAAGCCUCUAGAUAGAAAAUAGGUGCCCGUACCGCAAGCCGACACAGGUAGUCAAGAUGAGAAUUCUAAGGUGAGCGAGCGAACUCUCGUUAAGGAACUCGGCAAAAUGACCCCGUAACUUCGGGAGAAGGGGUGCUCUUUAGGGUUAACGCCCAGAAGAGCCGCAGUGAAUAGGCCCAAGCGACUGUUUAUCAAAAACACAGGUCUCUGCUAAACCGUAAGGUGAUGUAUAGGGGCUGACGCCUGCCCGGUGCUGGAAGGUUAAGAGGAGUGGUUAGCUUCUGCGAAGCUACGAAUCGAAGCCCCAGUAAACGGCGGCCGUAACUAUAACGGUCCUAAGGUAGCGAAAUUCCUUGUCGGGUAAGUUCCGACCCGCACGAAAGGCGUAACGAUUUGGGCACUGUCUCAACGAGAGACUCGGUGAAAUCAUAGUACCUGUGAAGAUGCAGGUUACCCGCGACAGGACGGAAAGACCCCGUGGAGCUUUACUGUAGCCUGAUAUUGAAAUUCGGCACAGCUUGUACAGGAUAGGUAGGAGCCUUUGAAACGUGAGCGCUAGCUUACGUGGAGGCGCUGGUGGGAUACUACCCUAGCUGUGUUGGCUUUCUAACCCGCACCACUUAUCGUGGUGGGAGACAGUGUCAGGCGGGCAGUUUGACUGGGGCGGUCGCCUCCUAAAAGGUAACGGAGGCGCUCAAAGGUUCCCUCAGAAUGGUUGGAAAUCAUUCAUAGAGUGUAAAGGCAUAAGGGAGCUUGACUGCGAGACCUACAAGUCGAGCAGGGUCGAAAGACGGACUUAGUGAUCCGGUGGUUCCGCAUGGAAGGGCCAUCGCUCAACGGAUAAAAGCUACCCCGGGGAUAACAGGCUUAUCUCCCCCAAGAGUUCACAUCGACGGGGAGGUUUGGCACCUCGAUGUCGGCUCAUCGCAUCCUGGGGCUGUAGUCGGUCCCAAGGGUUGGGCUGUUCGCCCAUUAAAGCGGUACGCGAGCUGGGUUCAGAACGUCGUGAGACAGUUCGGUCCCUAUCCGUCGUGGGCGUAGGAAAUUUGAGAGGAGCUGUCCUUAGUACGAGAGGACCGGGAUGGACAUACCUCUGGUGUACCAGUUGUCGUGCCAACGGCAUAGCUGGGUAGCUAUGUGUGGACGGGAUAAGUGCUGAAAGCAUCUAAGCAUGAAGCCCCCCUCAAGAUGAGAUUUCCCAACUUCGGUUAUAAGAUCCCUCAAAGAUGAUGAGGUUAAUAGGUUCGAGGUGGAAGCAUGGUGACAUGUGGAGCUGACGAAUACUAAUCGAUCGAAGACUUAAUCAA
rnacentral:rRNA from 2 species